rnacentral:rRNA from 1 species
GGUACGGGUUGUGAGAGCAAGAGCCCGGAGAUGGAUUCUGAGACACGAAUCCAGGCCCUACGGGGUGCAGCAGGCGCGAAAACUUUACAAUGCUGGCAACAGCGAUAAGGGAACCUCGAGUGCCAGGUUACAAAUCUGGCUGUCGAGAUGCCUAAAAAGCAUUUCAUAGCAAGGGCCGGGCAAGACCGGUGCCAGCCGCCGCGGUAAUACCGGCGGCUCGAGUGGUGGCCACUAUUACUGGGCUUAAAGCGUUCGUAGCUGGGUUGUUAAGUCUCUUGGGAAAUCCACCGGCUCAACCGAUGGGCGACCAGGGGAAACUGGCAUUCUAGGGACCGGGAGAGGUGAGAGGUACUCCAGGGGUAGGAGUGAAAUCCUGUAAUCCUUGGGGGACCACCGAUGGCGAAGGCAUCUCACCAGAACGGCUCCGACAGUGAGGAACGAAAGCUGGGGGAGCAAACCGGAUUAGAUACCCGGGUAGUCCCAGCUGUAAACGAUGCGCGUUAGGUGUAUCGGUGACCACGAGUUACCGAGGUGCCGAAGGGAAACCGG